UACGUAGGGGGCAAGCGUUGUCCGGAUUUAUUGGGCGUAAAGAGCUCGUAGGCGGUUCCGUAAGUCGAGUGUGAAAAAUCUGGGCUCAACCCAGUGGAGCACUCGAUACUGCGGUGACUAGAGUACGGUAGAGGAGUGUGGAAUUCCUGGUGUAGCGGUGAAAUGCGCAGAUAUCAGGAGGAACACCAAUAGCGAAGGCAGCUCGCUGGGACGGUAUUGACGCUAAGGCGCGAAAGCCAGGGGAGCAAACGGG
rnacentral:rRNA from 1 species